rnacentral:rRNA from 1 species
AGGGUUCGAUCCUGGCUCAGGACGAACGCUGGCGGCAUGCCUAACACAUGCAAGUCGAACGAGAAAGUUCCUUCGGGAGCAAUUAAAGUGGCGCACGGGUGAGUAACGCGUAGACAAUCUGCCCUUCAGUCUGGGACAACUUUUCGAAAGGAGAGCUAAUACCGGAUAACAAUGCAUGACACAAGUUGUAUAUUUGAAAGCUUUAUGUGCUGAAGGAGGGGUCUGCGUCCCAUUAGCUAGUUGGUAGGGUAAAGGCUUACCAAGGCAACGAUGGGUAGCGGGUUUGAGAGGACGAUCCGCCACACUGGAACUGAGACACGGUCCAGACUCCUACGGGAGGCAGCAGUGGGGAAUAUUGCACAAUGGAGGAAACUCUGAUGCAGCAAUGUCGCGUGAGUGAAGAAGGCCCUUGGGUCGUAAAGCUCUUUUAUGGGGGAAGAUGAUGACGGUACCCCAAGAAUAAGCACCGGCUAACUAUGUGCCAGCCGCCGCGGUAAUAC